CUACGGGAUGCACCAGUGGGGAAUAUUGCACAAUGGGCGCAAGCCUGAUGCAGCCAUGCCGCGUGUAUGAAGAAGGCCUUCGGGUUGUAAAGUACUUUCAGCGGGGAGGAAGGGAGUAAAGUUAAUACCUUUGCUCAUUGACGUUACCCGCAGAAGAAGCACCGGCUAACUCCGUGCCAGCAGCCGCGGUAAUACGGAGGGUGCAAGCGUUAAUCGGAAUUACUGGGCGUAAAGCGCACGCAGGCGGUUUGUUAAGUCAGAUGGGAAAUCCCCGGGCUCAACCUGGGAACUGCAUCUGAUACUGGCAAGCUUGAGUCUCGUAGAGGGGGGUAGAAUUCCAGGUGUAGCGGUGAAAUGCGUAGAGAUCUGGAGGAAUACCGGUGGCGAAGGCGGCCCCCUGGACGAAGACUGACGCUCAGGUGCGAAAGCGUGGGGAGCAAACAGAAUUAGAUACCCCUGUAGUC
rnacentral:rRNA from 1 species